rnacentral:rRNA from 1 species
GACGAACGCUGGCGGCGUGCCUAACACAUGCAAGUCGAACGGAGAAUUUGAUAAGCUUGCUUAGAAAGAUUCUUAGUGGCGGACGGGUGAGUAACGCGUGGGUAACCUACCCAUAAACCCGGGACAACCCUUGGAAACGAGGGCUAAUACCGGAUAAUUUUGAGGUCUGGCAUCAGACUUUAAGGAAAGAUGGCCUCUGAAAAUGCUAUCGAUUAUGGAUGGACCCGCGUCUGAUUAGCUAGUUGGUGGGGUAAAGGCCUACCAAGGCGACGAUCAGUAGCCGGCCUGAGAGGGUGAACGGCCACACUGGGACUGAGACACGGCCCAGACUCCUACGGGAGGCAGCAGUGGGGAAUCUUCCGCAAUGGACGAAAGUCUGACGGAGCAACGCCGCGUGUAUGAUGAAGGUCUUCGGAUUGUAAAGUACUGUCUUUGGGGAAGAACGGUGGUUUUGAGAAUAUUGAGAUCACAUGACGGUACCCAAGGAGGAAGCCCCGGCUAACUACGUG